rnacentral:tRNA from 2 species
CAAAGAGUAGUUUAAUUAAAAUAUUAGUUUUGGAGAUUAAUGAUAGGGGAAACUCUUUCUUUGA